rnacentral:rRNA from 1 species
GUAAGGAAUAUUGGACAAUGGACGCAAGUCUGAUCCAGCCAUGCCGCGUGAAGGAUUAAGGUCCUCUGGAUUGUAAACUUCUUUUAUAAGGGACGAAAAAAGGCUUUUCUAAGUCGUCUGACGGUACCUUAUGAAUAAGCACCGGCUAACUCCGUGCCAGCAGCCGCGGUAAUACGGAGGGUGCAAGCGUUAUCCGGAUUCACUGGGUUUAAAGGGUGCGUAGGCGGGCAGGUAAGUCAGUGGUGAAAUCCUAGAGCUUAACUCUAGAACUGCCAUUGAUACUAUCUGUCUUGAAUAUUGUGGAGGUAAGCGGAAUAUGUCAUGUAGCGGUGAAAUGCUUAGAUAUGACAUAGAACACCUAUUGCGAAGGCAGCUUACUACACAUAUAUUGACGCUGAGGCACGAAAGCGUGGGGAUCAAACAGGAUUAGAAACCCGUGUAGUCC